rnacentral:rRNA from 1 species
AGUGAACGCUGGCGGUAGGCCUAACACAUGCAAGUCGAACGGCAGCACAGUAAGGGCUUGCUCUUACGGGUGGCGAGUGGCGGACGGGUGCGGAAUACAUCGGAAUCUACUUUUUCGUGGGGGAUAACGUAGGGAAACUUACGCUAAUACCGCAUACGACCUACGGGUGAAAGCAGGGGAUCUUCGGACCUUGCGCGAUUGAAUGAGCCGAUGUCGGAUUAGGUAGUUGGCGGGGUAAAGGCCCACCAAGGCGACGGUCCGUAGCUGGUCUGAGAGGAUGAUCAGCCACCCUGGAACUGAGACACGGUCCAGACCCCUACGGGAGGCAGCAGUGGGGAAUAUUGGACCAUGGGCGCAAGCCUGAUCCAGCCAUACCGCGUGGGUGAAGAAGGCCUUCGGGUUGUAAAGCCCUUUUGUUGGGAAAGAAAAGCAGCAGGUUAAUACCCCGCUGUUCUGACGGUACCCAAAGAAUAAGCACCGGCUAACUUCGUG